rnacentral:rRNA from 1 species
AACGAACGCUGGCGGCAUGCCUAACACAUGCAAGUCGAACGAGCCCUUCGGGUCUAGUGUCGCACGGGUGCGUAACGCGUGUGAACCUGCGCUUAGGUUCGGGAUAGCUCCCUGAAAGGGAUGCUAAUACCGGAUAAUGUCUUCGUACCAAAGAUUUAUCGACUUUGGUUGUUCCAGCGUUGGAUUAGAUAGUUGGUAGGGUAAAAGCCUACAAAGGCGACGAUCCAUAGCUGGUCUGAGAGGAUGAUCAGCAACACUGGGACAGAGACAAGGCCCAGACUCCUACGGGAGGAAGCAGUGGGGAAUAUUGGACGACGGGCGAGUGCCUGAGCCAGCAAUGCCGUGUGAGUGAUGAAGGCCUGAGGGUUGUAAAGCUCUUUUACCCGGGAUGAUAAUGACAGUACCGGGAGAAUAAGCUCCGGCUAACUCCGUG